rnacentral:lncRNA from 1 species
AAGGUUUUUUCACUCCACAUUUGAGUUCAUAAGUGUUCUUGCUUCCAAGUUUCCAAGCUUCCAAAGUUCUCAAGUGUUCUAGCUUUCCAAAGCUUCAAAAGCUCUCCAACUUCUUCUUCUAAUAUUCUUGUUCAUCUCUACAAGUAAGAAGUGUUGUUUUCUUAAUAUUCUACUCCUAUAAUCAUCUCUUGUGUGUGUCCACUUUGGUUGAGAGGUUUGUCUCAAGAUCACCAAAGUGUGAGAGAGUUUUUGAGCUAAACCAAAAAGCUUUAAGUUUGAUUUUAUAGAGUUUCCGAGAAAACUCUUAGGUCGAAUCUACCUUGAAAGAUUUUUAGAUUUUUAAAAGUUUCUUGAUACUCUAAGA